UACAUAUUAUUAGAAAUAAUCAAAUGACCAUGUUAUUUAAAAAUCAGACUACUCAGGCUUUAAACUGUCAUAGAAAUCAUUUAAAUUUAAAAUUAAGAGUCAUGAAAAAGAAAAGUUACAAAAGUCUACUUAUCAAUAGAAUGAUCCCACUUUUUGCUAAAUAAUUUUAAAAUAGUAUGUGACCAUAUAAGAGCAGAGAAGGAUAUAAUUGAAGAGAUCAACAAUAAUCAUCUCUGGAAGAUGGGAUAAAUAAUUUUUCAUUUUGAUUAUAUGACCUUUCAAUUUUUUUCUACAAAAAACACACAUAUUCAGUUAUUAAAACCUACAUUCAAUCUUUGUAUUACAACCUUUGUGCCUGCCACGUACCUAACAAAAGUCUCUAGCCCAUUAGGAUGUAAGGUUAAAACAAAGCUAGAAUUUUUAUUAGCACCUUAUCCUAAGAAAAGCAAACAAUACAUAUGAAAUUCAAGCUCUUUCCCUUUUAAAUCGAUGUAGAGUGCUUUAAAAAUCUAUUUUAUUCUGCUCUUAAUGAUUCAUACAAAUCAAUCUUCUAGAUUCGUUUCAGGUUGAAAUGAAGGUAAAAAUGUUAAGGGCAGCCAGAGAGAAAGGUCAGGUUACCCCCAAAGGGAAGCCCAUCAGACUAACAGUGGACCUCUCUGCAGAAACCCUACAAGCACCACAUCACACUUAUUCUAAAAUCGACCACGUAAUUGGAAGUAAAACACUCCUCAGCAAAUGCAAAAGAACAGAAAUCAUGACAAACAGUCUCUCAGACCACAGUGCAAUCAUAUUAGAACUCAGGAUUAAGAAACUCACUCAAAAUCACACAACUACACGGAAACUGAACAACCUGCUCCUGAAUGACUACUGGAUAAAUAAUGAAAUUAAGGCAGAAAUAAGUUCUUGGAGACCAAUGAGAACAGAGGGAUGUGGGACAUUAAGACAGCUUUUGUGUUGAGGGACUUUCUGGGUCUCCAUAGAAGGCUCCUCUGAUGUCUUGAUUGGGAGGAAUAAGAAUGAUUCCUUGUGUCGUGGCACCUGGAAGGAGUUAUAGGGCUAGAAGUGGAAGGUUGAUUAUGACUAAUUAGUCCCUUAUUUUCUGGCUGGUGCCUCAUCCCUGCUCUCUGUGUUCCUGGAGCCCUCAAAUCUGGGGCCUCACUGGUUCAAAUGCCAUAGAAAAUAAACCUCCUCCUUCCCGAAGGGUGAGACAAGAGUAGUUAGCUGGCUUCAUAAGGUAGGUUUGUUUGUUUUUUUUUUGAGAGACAGGGUUUUCUCUGUUGCCCAGACUGGAGUGCAGAAACAUUCUUUUUUUUUCAUUUUUGUAGGGACUGUGGUGGAAGGUUGUGGAGAGUGUCCCACUUUAUUGCCCAGACUGGUCUAGAGUUC
rnacentral:lncRNA from 1 species